CUUCUUCUUCUUCUUCUUCUUCUUCUUAUCUCCUAAUCUGCUUUGGAAAACAGCGAGAAACCACAGUAAAUACAGCCGAAAAUUUCUGUGUUUGCAUCAGAUUGAGAGACAUGGAGAAGAUGGUUCCUUCAAUAGGAUCGAGAUAUUCUGAUUUCACCAAGUCUUUCAAGCUUGCUAUUCGCUCCCUUCUCACUUCCUGCUCCAAAGAGGAGUGUGUCAUAGCAUUUUCAAAUUUCAGCAGUGCAGAGCAGGAAAGUCUACACCGUCUAUUUAUUCAGGUUAUCACUUCUUUGCAUAAAAUGAUAGAGGAUGAGUUUGAGUCAUUAAGCCUUGAAACACAGGUGGGAACAACUAUUUAUACUGUGGAC
rnacentral:misc_RNA from 1 species